AGGGAUGUAGCUCAGUGGUAGAGGGCUUGCCAGGCAUGCAAGAGGCUCUGGCUCAAUCCUCAGCCCUG
rnacentral:tRNA from 1 species